rnacentral:rRNA from 1 species
GAUGAACGCUGGCGGCGUGCCUGAUACAUGCAAGUCGAGCGAAUGGAUUAAGAGCUUGCUCUUAUGAAGUUAGCGGCGGACGGGUGAGUAACACGUGGGUAACCUGCCCAUAAGACUGGGAUAACUCCGGGAAACCGGGGCUAAUACCGGAUAACAUUUUGAACCGCAUGGUUCGAAAUUGAAAGGCGGCUUCGGCUGUCACUUAUGGACGGACCCGCGUCGCAUUAGCUAGUUGGUGAGGUAACGGCUCACCAAGGCAACGAUGCGUAGCCGACCUGAGAGGGUGAUCGGCAACCGUGGGACUGAGACACGGCCCAGAAUCCGACGGGAGGAAGCAGUAGGGAAUCUUCCGCAAUGGACGAAAGUCUGACGGAGCAACGCCGCGUGAGUGAUGAAGGCUUUCGGGUCGUAAAACUCUGUUGUUAGGGAAGAACAAGUGCUAGUUGAAUAAGCUGGCACCUUGACGGUACCUAACCAGAAAGCCACGGCUAACUACGUGCCAGCCGCCGCCGUAA